rnacentral:RNase_P_RNA from 1 species
CGGGUGGGCCGGGCGAUCGCUGGUCUGGUCAUCGCAAGAUGGCUGGACGGGAGGAAAGUCCGGACACCCUGGUCCAGGCCGCAAGGCUGGGGACCAGAGGGCAACGCGCCUGGUAACGCCAGGGGGCCGGGUUGGGAACGAUCCGGUCACGGACAGUGCCACAGAGAAGAUACCGCCGGCGGAGCGCAGCCCGGUGACAGCUCGGAGGAAAACCUCCGAGACGUCUUCGUAUCGCACGCUUCGCAGGUAAGGGUGAAAAGGUGGGGUAAGAGCCCACCGCCCCGGUGGCAACACCGGGGGCACGGCAAACCCCGCGUGGUGCAAGGCCAAAUAGGAGGGGAGGGCUGGCCCGGCCUGUUAUCAACCCUCGGGUAGGCUGCUGGAGUCACGGCGCGAGCCGUGGCCUAGAGGAAUGGUCGCCGCAGCGCGCAGGCCGCUUUUGGGACGCGCGCCGCACAGAAUCCGGCUUACAGGCUCAUCCGCCAA